GUUAAGAGAAAAACAAGAAAAAGUGAGAGAGAGCUUUGAAACUUGUAAGAUUGAAAGACUUGGAACAUUAAAUUAAGGAAGAAUCAAGAGAAGGAAGAUAUAAGAAAGGUGAGGAGGGCUGGCCACACUAGGAGGAGAAGAACAGUUGGGAGAACUUAGAUUGGAGUUGUACCGGGAGCAGGGCAUCAAGCAGGAGGAGCUGGGCCAUUACGAGCAGAUGGUUUUUCACGAGGUGAUGCGGAGCGUUAAAUAUGGGCUUUGUGUUUUAAUCUGUUUAUUUUGUGGAAUGUAAUAUAUUUGCUUUAUAUGUAAUUUGUAUUAUAUGUAGAUUGUAAUAUAUGUAUCCUGAAUAUGUUUUGCUUUUGGUACUUAUACAUUUAAAAUGUAUGAGUAAGGAACUAAUAUUAUUAAACUAUUCAAAAAGAAAAUUUAGUAA